rnacentral:lncRNA from 1 species
AGUCAGCGUCCAAAGAAAGAAAAAGGAGAGGAGGGGCUUCUUUAAAGCAACACAAUCCAUGGGGGAGGAGAUGCGCAUGUUUUGCAAGGUCAUCAGCUGCAAAAUUUGCUUUUCGAAAUAUGUGGUUCACCUGAAAAAUUUCAGACUUCGCUAGAAGGCGCUUGAUCUCCCUCCCUCACCAGAGAGGUACUGGAAUGGUGGGGGGUAGAAGCGCUGUGGAUAAGGUUGAAUACACACAGGAAUCCGUCUCUAUAACAAGCUUCUUUAGCCCCAAAUCAAUUGCGAGCUUUAAUCCCACAUAAAUUUCCCAGAGCUCAACAGUGGUAAUGGUUACCGCACCGAUGUUAAACAUGACGCCUACCUUGAGUCUUCCAUCUGCAUCCCUCAGAAGUCCUCCACAAGUACCGGUUCCCGAAUUAGUGAGGACCGAGCCAUCAGUAUUAAGCUUAUACCAUCCCUCUUCCAGCGGAGACCAACCAAUGUCGAUAGUCCUGGUCGAGGUAAGGGCUUUUCUGCUUUUGUCAAUUUUUUGAAGAACCUCAUAAUAGUGUUUGGCUAAGUUCUGAAUUAUUCUUGGAAGGUCUGAGCUGUGGAUGCCCGAAUUGUUAAAAAUUAAAUCAUUUUUAUUUCUCCAAGCUGCAUUGCAGGUAGUAACAAAUAAGGUGGGCUAAGCAUUCCCAUCCUUUCUUCGAGCAGUCAUGCAAAGAUUGUGCUUGAACCAAUCCUGGAAGUUUUAGUUGAAGAAGUUGCCUUGUUGACUACUAUCAAUGCUGCUCAUCCAAGUUUCACGGAUAUAGUGACAAUCCCGGAGAACAUGGAGCAGGGUCUCUUCUUGGCCAGGGCACCUGGGGCAACACUCAUUGCUGG